AGGGUUUCGGAGAGGCACGGUUUUCAAGGCAGAGGAGAGGGGGAUGUCUAAAAAUUAGGAGGAGGUCUAUUUAUAUACAAAUGGGGGGCUAGGUUUAGCGGAAUUCCGACCCGGUUUCAACCGCGCGGUCGGAAUCGGACGAUUCCGCAUGCGGGAAUGGGUAAGUGGCUGUGUAGAGUAGUUAUCCGGAGACGAGAGGGAAAACGGGCGGCCCGGCAACGAGAAUUAAAACACCGAAAGACGUCCGACGAUAGACCGAAUAUGGUGCCGCUACGGUCGAACGCUCGGGUACCAGACGGACUCCGAUUGCGACGAAACUUGACACACGGCCUAGCUACAACUAAUUACGACCGCACGCCAAGUUCCAACACAAUCCGAGAAUGUUUUACACACACUUCUAAAACAAGGUUUCGACGAUGCCGCGAGCGCGUCCGAGUGCGGUCGGGCUCAGAACAGACAACGACGAGAACCGGCAGCUAACAAUGGAUGCAGGAUUGAAAAUUGUCGGCAACGGAGAUGCCGAUGCAAUGCUGAUGAUGCGCAUGAUGCGAUGAUGAUGCGACAAAUAAAAAUAGACACACGACGAAAACGGAAUAUAGGUGAAAUCUUCUGGAACGUCGGCAUCGGGCUGUCACAGGUUAGUGAUGAUGACCCUCA
rnacentral:lncRNA from 1 species